AUUGAACGCUGGCGGCAUGCUUUACACAUGCAAGUCGAACGGUAACAGGCCUUCGGGUGCUGACGAGUGGCGAACGGGUGAGUAAUGCAUCGGAACGUACCCAGAGGUGGGGGAUAACGCAGCGAAAGCUGUGCUAAUAUCGCAUGUGAUCUGAGGUUGAAAGCGGGGGACCGAGCAGCAAUGUUUGGCCUCGUGCCUUUGGAGCGGCCGAUGUCGGAUUAGCUAGUUGGUGGGGUAAAGGCCUACCAAGGCGACGAUCCGUAGCUGGUCUGAGAGGACGACCAGCCACACUGGGACUGAGACACGGCCCAGACUCCUACGGGAGGCAGCAGUGGGGAAUUUUGGACAAUGGGCGCAAGCCUGAUCCAGCAAUGCCGCGUGCGGGAAGAAGGCCUUCGGGUUGUAAACCGCUUUUGGCAGGAGCGAAACGGUGUCCGCUAAUACCGGGCGCUAAUGACGGUACCUGCAGAAUAAGCACCGGCUAACUACGUG
rnacentral:rRNA from 1 species